CCUACGGGUGGCUGCAGUGAGGAAUAUUGGUCAAUGGUCGGGAGACUGAACCAGCCAAGCCGCGUGAGGGAUGAAGGUACAGAGUAUCGUAAACCUCUUUUGUCAGGGAACAAAGACUGGGACGCGUCCCCGGAUGAGUGUACCUGAAGAAAAAGCAUCGGCUAACUCCGUGCCAGCAGCCGCGGUAAUACGGAGGAUGCGAGCGUUAUCCGGAUUUAUUGGGUUUAAAGGGUGCGUAGGCGGAGUGUCAAGUCAGCGGUAAAAGUUCGGGGCUCAACCCCGUCGUGCCGUUGAAACUGACACCCUUGAGUGAGUGAGAAGUAUGCGGAAUGCGCGGUGUAGCGGUGAAAUGCAUAGAUAUCGCGCAGAACUCCGAUUGCGAAGGCAGCAUGCCGGCUCCACACUGACGCUGAGGCACGAAAGCGUGGGUAUCGAACAGGAUUAGAUACCCCGGUAGUC
rnacentral:rRNA from 1 species